GACGAACGCUGGCGGCGUGCUUAACACAUGCAAGUCGAACGGAAAGGCCCUGCUUUUGUGGGGUGCUCGAGUGGCGAACGGGUGAGUAACACGUGAGUAACCUGCCCUUGACUUUGGGAUAACUUCAGGCAACUGGGGCUAAUACCGGAUAGGAGCUCCUGCUGCAUGGUGGGGGUUGGAAAGUUUCGGCGGUUGGGGAGGGACUCGCGGCUGAUCAGCUUGGUGGGGGGGUAGUGGCUUACCAAGGCGUCGAUGGGUAGCCGGCGUGAGAGGGUGACCGGACACGGGGGGAGUGAGACACCGCACAGACUCGUGCGGGAGGCAGCGGUGGGGAAUCUUGCGGGAUGGGAGACAGCCUGACGCAGCCAUGCCGCGGGAAUGAUGAAGGUCGUAGGAUUGUAACAUUCUCUCGGCGGGGACGGUAAGGACGGUACCCGCAGAAGAAGCUCCGGCUAACUUCGUG
rnacentral:rRNA from 1 species